rnacentral:lncRNA from 1 species
UAGCGGAAUGACGAAAGGAGCUCUAGACCGAGAGAAAGGAGGUUGAACGGCAAACGAACCCUAGACGGUGAGGAAAACCUAAUCUAAACUGAUUAAUCGGGGGAAAUGAACUUUUAAUCGGUGGAAAUGGUUUAGAUCGAAGAAAAUGAUGGUUUAAUCGGUGAAAUCGACAUGCAAAGUGAAAAUGGAGAGGAAUGCUGGAUUUGUGAAGAGAAAUGCAUUUUACCGGUGGAAAGAGGCAACGAUGGUGGAUCUGAGUCGAGAGAGAAAUGCUCUCGAAGACGCUGAGAGUGAAACCCUAGCAGAGGAAGGUUUCGUGGUAUGUGGAAAAAAUAAGAAGUGAUGCGUCUGGAGUACGAAUGACGCUGAUAUGGCUUCAGGAAGGAACGCGUAGCUUGAGAACUGGUGACGCGUGCCUGAAGUAGAGUGGAGGAAUUGGUGAUGAUGAGAGAGAAGCAUGGUGGAGUAAUUGGAACAAUGAAAUAAUGAAGUGUGCUUUGGAAGGAGGCUAGAGGUCUUUGGACUCUCUAGCAUAUGACUUUCAAGGAAGAAUUAUUUUCUGAUUUAGAAAACCAAAUUCUCAUUAAUCUCAAAAGUAAGUACAAGAAGUGUAGGCAUGGCUAUAUAUAGGACUAGAAGUCCCACAUACCUAACACAUUUACAAAGUACAUAAAAGAAAGACUACACUAAAGACAUUGGGCUUGGGCCCCGCGUAUCAGAGAUGGUGACAACUCUCCUUUUCUCCCUUUUAGGGUUUAUAUCUCUUUCAUUCCAUUCUUCAUCUAGAUUCACCAUGACAAUGGUG